AGGCGAAGUGUCUCGUGAAUCGUGACGAAGGAAGCUGUGAAGGGGCAGAAGGCGGCGAUGCGAUGGUUGGGUCCGAGUCAGGGCAGAUUUCAGAGGCAAUGAUAUGGUGAUGGCGAUUGGUGGGGAGGCGAGACGGAGGGAAGGAAUAUGGAGAAUGGCCUGUCGUAAUCACAGGGGGAUGUGUCAGGGAUGUCAGCACUAACAUUGGGUAAGAAAACAAGAACUCCAUUCUCAUUUCUCAGAGGUUCUACUAAAUAUAGAGGAUGAAGGCGUUCAAAUCUUGAUUGUCUCAGCUUCUAGCUCUUUUUCAAUCUUCAUCUUCAGGAUUACUUUCUCUACUUGUAGCUUGUUGAUUAAUUCUUAGUUCAGUUGCGUUCAAUUUGAAUUAAAUGCUACCCUGAUGAUGGUCACUGUGAGGUUCUCAGCCUUUGCAAUGUAAAUUUAUUUUACAGACAAUGUUUCAAGUCGUGAGAACUCCCUCUGGAACUAGCAGAGUGUGCAUGUGGAAUACUUCAUUAUCUUGGGUAGACAAAUGCCAUUUUUCCAUCCAAAUUUUGCUCCUGGCUUCCGGUGUUCUUGUGUUACUACAUUGUUUCCAGCAUACUAUUGCCUAAUGUGUUCCCAUAAUGCCUGGACACAGGAACAACACGAAAAAUUUGUUGAACAGAUAAUUCCAAGUUUAUACAGGCAGGACUGGGCUACGUCUUGGUUAGAUUUCUCUUCUUUUCCUUCCUCUGAUCUAAGUCAGAGUUCAGAAAUUCCUUUUUUUUUUUUCUUCUUCUUCUUCUUUCAUCCACACGUAGGAUGUUUGCUAUUAAGUGCAGUAGUAGGCUGGAUCUAGUUUUAGUUUCCCGAUUGGAGUCCGAAGAACAGUUUCUCAAAUCCUAUAAAUGUAUUGAUCAGAUUUGUCAGUUAAUGGAAUAUUCGGUUUAUGGUUUCGGUUAUUAGAGAA